rnacentral:ncRNA from 1 species
CGACCCCAGGUCAGGGGGGAUCACCCGCUGAGUUUAAGCAUAUCAAUAAGCAGAGGAAAAGAAACUAACAAGGAUUCCCUUAGUAACGGCGAGCGAACCGGGAAGAGCCCAGCUUGAAAAUCGGACGUCUUUGGCGUUUGAAUUGUAGUCUGGAGAAACGUUUUCAGCAACGGAUCGGGCCCAAGUUCACUGGAAAGGGAAGCCAGAGAGGGUGAGAGCCCCGUCCUGCCCAGACCCUUUCGCACCACGAGGCACUGUCUACGAUUCGGGUUGUUUGGGAAUGCAGCCCCAAUCGGGCGGUAAAUUCCGUCCAAGGCUAAAUAAGAGCGAGAGACCGAUAGCAAACAAGUACCGUGAGGUAAAGAUGAAAAGGACUUUGAAAAGAGAGUCAAAGAGUGCUUGAAAUUGUCGGGAGGGAAGCAGAUGGGGGCCGGUGAAUCGUCCCGGUCGGAUGCGGAACGGAGCAAUCCGGUCCGCCGAUCGAUUCGGGGCGUGGACCUACGCGGAUUAAGGUGGUGACCUAAGCCCGGGAUUUUGUUACGCCCGCGGAGACGUUUCUGCCUUGAUCGUGGUCUGCCGCACGCGCCUCACGGCGUGCCUCGGCAUCUGCGUGCUCAGGGCAUUGGCCUGUGGGCUCCCCAUUCGACCCGUCUUGAAACACGGAGCAAGGAGUUUGACAUGUGUGCGAGUCAAUGGGUGAGUAAACCCGUAAGGCGCAAGGAAGCUGAUUGGCUGGAUCCCUCACGGGUGCCCAGCCGACCGACCUUGAUCUUCUGAGAAGGGUUCGAGUGUGAGCAUGCCUGUCGGGACCCAAAAGAUGGUGAACUAUGCCGGAGCGGGGCGAAGCCAGAGGAAACUCUGGUGGAGGCCCGUAGCGAUACUGACGUACAAAUUGUUCGUCUGACUUGGGUAUAGGGGCAAAAAAGUUAUCAUAUUCCCAAACAGGAAAACUGGGAUCACCUGAUUUGAAAGUAGGAUAGCUUCUUCAUCAUAACUCCUAUGGGAUUUACUCAACUUCCUAGUGAUUCUCCACGACUUUAUGUAUCCAAAUCAAUCUUCUUAGAUCGCGAUUCAUCUUGGUUUGAUUAAAAUGACGAAAAAGUUGUCAUAUUCCCAAACAGGAAAACUGGGAUCACCUGAUUUGAAAGUGGGAUAUCUUCUUCAUCCUAACACCAAUGAGAUUUAUUCAACUUCAUGGUGAAAAUCUACUACUUAUUAUAUCCAAAUCAAGCUUCUUAAAUCGUGGUUCAUCUUGGUUUAUUAGAAUGACGAAAAAGUUUUCAUAUUCCCAAACAUAAAAACUAGGAUCAUCUGAUUUGAAAGUGGGAUAGCUUCUUCAUCCUAACUCCUACGAGAUUGAUUCAACUUCAUAGUGAAAAUCCACGAAUUUAUGUAUGCAAAUCAAGCUUCUUACAUCGCGGUUCAUCUUGGAUUAGUCGAAUAACGAAAUAGUUGUCAGAUUCCCAAACUUGAAAACUAGUAUCACUUGAGUUGAAAGUGGGAUAGCUUCUUCAUCCUAACUCCUAUGAGAUUUAUUCAACUUCCUUGUAAUUGUCCACAACUUUAUGUACCAAAUCAAGCUUCUUAUAUUGCGAUUCAUCCUGGUUUGAUUAGAAUGAUGAAGAAGUUGUCAUAUUACCAAACUGGAAAACUUGGAUCCCCUGAUUUGAAAGUGGGAUAGCUUCUUCAUCCUAACUCCUAUGAGAUUUAUUUAACUUCCUAGUGUUUCUCCACUAUAUAAUGUAUCCAAAUGAAGCUUCUUACAUCGCGGUACAUCUUGGUUUGAUUAGAAUGAUGAAAAAGUUAUCAUAUUACCAAACUGGAAAACUGGGAUCCCCUCAUUUGAAAGUGGGAUAGCUUCUUCAUACUAACUCCUAUGAUAUUUAUUCAACUUCCUAGUGUUUCUCCACUACAUUAUGUAUCCAAAUGUAGGUUUUCCACCAAAACCACAAAAAUAAGACUUCUAAAAAAAUCGAGUUUUUUUCGCCAAAACUGUGAAAACGAGAUUUCCCGCCAAAAUCGUAGAAUUCAGUUUUUUUUUUAGAUAAUCAAAAUAUAAUUUUUUAUUUGUUUUUCACCAUAAUAAAAAAAUGAGUUUUUUGUCGUUAUCACAAGUGUUUAGAUUAAAGGGAAAUUGGGUUGUAUAACCAUCAAACAAAUUAUAAUUCAAUGGCUAACCAAAAAACCUGCAUCACCUAUACACUUACCUUCUUAUACAUAAUAUUGUCAUAUUGCCCUCAGAUACAACCGGUUGAAACCUGUAAGAAAAAAUAAAGAAAAGUUAAUAAUAAUAAUAAUACUCAAAAGUUACGUGUGGCCCUUGAAAAUCACACAUUCUCUCACAUGUGCUUUAUUUUGGUAACUUUAACAGUAGAUGAAAUUCUUCUUCCCAGAUUUUUUCUUGAAUUGAUUUCUUCUCACGAGAAGAACAAUCAACUGUAGUAAAAAUGAGGCAAUGAUGAAGGCGUAGACGGUGAGAACACACACCAACUCUUUAAUUUUUUCCUCCAUCUCUUAACUCACUGAUUCUUACAAUCAUGCUUUUGUUUUCAUAUUGUUUUCGUUUUUAAAUCUUGCAAAUGAGAUGGGAUUAUCGCAUCAGAGUUAGAUCCAUGAUAGAUAUCCACUGAUGAAGAAUAACGACGGCGGAUCUGUAAAGUGUUGAUGUGUCAGAAAAAGAGGAGUAGAUGAAGACGAUCUCUAUAUGGUUGUAAAGAAUAAUGAGAGUGAGCCAAAUGAAUGCGUAUCAGCAUGUCUAAGAAUGAAGAAUUGAAGAAGAUGAACUUUUCGUCUAUACUAUAUUUUGUGAAAUGAAUAGUAUAGUAUAUAUUCUUUAGGGUAGCUAUUUGUGUAAAGAUACCAUACUAUUUAAGAUGAAAUGCUAUACAAUUCCUUAAAAUGUAAUAAUAUGCCAUGUUUUCGAAUUCGAUAGUUAUUUUCACUGUCAUUUUCUGUGAUUGAUUGUAAUAUGAAAUUCAAUUUUUAAAUAUUGCACAAAUUUGAUUAUUUGGAAUCUUCAUUAUUACCAAUUCUAGUUUAGAGAUCUAAAUUCUAUUAUUUAGAGGAAUGGUGGUGAAGUUGAGUUUUGCAUUAGAUUUUGAGAUUUGGGUUUACAAUUUUGGGUUUUGGGUUUAUAUUUGGUUUUAGGAUUUAGUAAUUAAUGUUUAGGGUUUAGUAAUUUCGUUCUUAAACUUGGUCAUUUGGAAAAUGUAAAUGGAGUGGACCAGUACAUCUAUACUAUUUAUAGCGGUUCCAUACUAUGUCGUCUACAUUGAGAAAAUUGACAACAUAUUAUAUAGAUUUUGUUUGGGUUUAUACUUUAGUUAUUUUGGUUUAGAUUUAGUAACUAGGGGUUUGUCUAGGGUUUUAGUAUUUAAGUGGGUGAGUAGAGUUUAGUUUUUAGGGUUUAUAUUUGGGUUUAGAGUUUAGUGAUUAGGGUUUAGGGUUUAUAUUUGGGUUUAGGGUUUAAUAAUUAAGGUUUAGGGUUUAUAUUUGGGUUUAGGGUUUAGUGAUUAG